UACGUAGGGACCAAGCGUUGUUCGGAUUUACUGGGCGUAAAGGGCGCGUAGGCGGCGUGGUAAGUCACUUGUGAACUCUCUGAGCUUAACUCAGAACGGCCAAGUGAUACUGCUGUGCUAGAGUGCAGAAGGGGCAAUCGGAAUUCUUGGUAUAGCGGUGAAAUGCGUAGAUAUCAAGAGGAACACCUGAGGUGAAGACGGGUUGCUGGGCUGACACUGACGCUGAGGCGCGAAAGCCAGGGGAGCAAACGGG
rnacentral:rRNA from 1 species